CGCCGAAUUGUCUGGACUCCGCCCUUCAAUGACCGCUGCCUUGCGAAGCGACCGAGACGGUUUAGUGUUAAGUUCGUGAGGUGCAGAGAUGUACGUUAACGUUAAGUUACAGAAGAGUGUGAAAGUUUCUCAUGCCGGUUCGAUUUCCUGAAAAAAAGAUCCUCUCGCCGAGGCCUGGCUUUACUAAGUUACGAGUCUGGCACUGAAGUCUGAAGCAGCCACAAUUGGGCGGGUUUCUUCUCAAAUGAGAGAAUUCAUCAAAUGUGCUGAAUAUCAAGUCUGUCAUGUCGUCAUAUCUGAGUCAAGACACAAACGCGCUACCAUCAAGUUUAUGCAAGUGUCAUGAAAGUGAGUUAAAGGUAUGUUAAACUGUAAAUCCGUCAGUCUUUCAAUUUCCUUCAGUGCCCAGCCCACUGGCAGAGCAUGCAGGUACUUCAACUUGAAACCAG
rnacentral:lncRNA from 1 species